AAGGCGACGAUCGGUAGCUGGUCUGAGAGGACGAUCAGCCACACUGGGAUUGAGAACGGCCCAGACUCCUACGGGGGGCAGCAGUGAGGAAUUUUCCGCAAUGGGCGCAAGCCUGACGGAGCAACGCCGCGUGCAGGAGGACGCUUUUCGGAGUGUAAACUGCUUUUCUGUGGGAAGAGAAUGGACGGUACCACAGGAAGAAGCCCCGGCUAACUACGUGCCAGCAGCCGCGGUAAUACGUAGGGGGCGAGCGUUGUCCGGAGUUACUGGGCGUAAAGGGCAUGCAGGCGGUCGUACGCGUUUUGUGUGACAGCGGGUGGCUUAACUACCCGAGUAUGCGAAAGACGGUAUGACUUGAGGGCUCGAGAGGGACACGGAAUUCCGGGUGGAGUGGUGAAAUGCGUAGAGAUCCGGAGGAACACCGAAGGCGAAGGCAGUGUCCUGGCGAGUGACUGACGCUGAGGUGCGAAAGCUAGGGGAGCGAACGGGAUUAGAUACCCCGGUAGUCCUAGCCGUAAACGAUGACCACCAGGUGUGGGAGGUAUCGACCCCUUCCGUGCCGGAGUUAACACACUAAGUGGUCCGCCUGGGGAGUACGGUCGCAAGAUUAAAACUCAAAGGAAUUGACG
rnacentral:rRNA from 1 species